rnacentral:ncRNA from 1 species
UAAAGGGCGAUGAUCAGGAGUAGUAGCUUCUGUUUUGCUUUACAGAGAGUUGACGGGUGGUGCAAGUCAACAAGCAAAAGGAAGCGAACUCGCCUGGGGAGUCCGUAAAGGUGAAGCUGAGUAGCCUUUACCGUUUUCCGCGAUAAGGAGCAAUGAGGAAACAGCAGUGUUGCCUGAUCAUUUGUGAAUUAAAACAUUUUUCACAACCAUGCUGCUGUUUCGAAUUAGGGUGGUACCACGGGAAGGUAGUUAACGUGAACAAACCUCUCGUCCCUAGC